CCUUCUGAACAGCAACCAAAUCUCCUCAAUUCAAAUUGCAACAUGCUAGCUUAUGAACGGAGGUUACAACAUCGCAAGUUUUCUAGCUUCUUCAUAGCAGUCAAUUGUUGUUGAUUUAAACAUUUUACUUGCUAAAUACUUAAUUAUUUAACUUUUGGUAUAUAAGUAAAAUUGGUUGAAACAUAUGUCAUCCCAACUUGGCAAUUUGACCUUAGUUCUUAAUAAACCCAUGAAAGAUUGAACAUACAUGUCAUACAAACAUAUCCUUAUCCUUCAAUCAUGGUAAAUAAACCAAGUCACCAACCCUGUGUUAAUGCCAUAAAGCUCUUGUGACUUGUAUUCAGAGAAAUGUAGAAGAUCACCAAGAGUAUUCACUCCGAGAUCACUUUGCAAAGAGGUUCCAAGUUUUCCUCCAAGUUGUUUCCUAUGAGGGAACAAUUUUCUGGAUAAAAGGGAUUUGCAUCAAUAGCGAACUUGGAACAAAAGUUUUGGUAUGUGUCACGUAAUAAAUGCAAGAAAACCAUCAGUGCAGAAUAUGGAAUGAAGUUUAACUGUAGGAAUUGUAACACUGAGAAAGCUACUGCACAGCCAACGUAGUCCAUUCCUUAAGUUUAGGGGUUAUCAGAAAACAUUUUUCUUAUGCCCCUCUUUUGUACUUAAUAUUUUUUCAAUGUUAGUCCCUUAAAUCUUUUGUA